rnacentral:rRNA from 1 species
CGAUGGGGUGACGCAGGAGGGUAGUGACGCGGACUGAUGGAUAUGUCCGUCUAAGCAGUGAGGCUGAUGUGUAGGCAAAUCCGCACAUCGUUAAGGCUGGGCUGUGAUGGGGAGCGAAAAUUGUAGUAGCGAAGGUCAUGAUCUCACACUGCCAAGAAAAGCCUCUAGCGAGGUGAGAGGUGCCCGUACCGCAAACCGACACAGGUAGGCGAGGAGAGAAUCCUAAGGUGAUCGAGAGAACUCUCGUUAAGGAACUCGGCAAAAUGACCCCGUAACUUCGGGAGAAGGGGGGCCCCGGUAGUGUGAAUAGCACGAGGGGGCCGCAGUGAAAAGGCCCAAGCGACUGUUUAGCAAAAACACAGGUCUGUGCGAAGCCGCAAGGCGAAGUAUACGGGCUGACGCCUGCCCGGUGCGGGAAGGGUAAGAGGAGCGCUUAGCGUAAGCGAAGGUGCGAAUUGAAGCCCCAGUAGACGGCGGCCGUAACUAUAACGGUCCUAAGGUAGCGAAAUUCCUUGUCGGGUA